UUAAGCUUGGUAUUCUGUUACCUAAUAUCUCUAAUAUCUCUAUUUGUUGUCAAAAGGAGGUCUUCCCAAUUUGUAUAUUUGUUUUUCAGUGUUUGGGGACAGAAAGGGAGCAACGCGAGCCCAAGAAAGAGAAAAGAGGACAGGAUCAAGGGAGGUUCCUAAUACAUUUUUAUGGAAUGACAGAAUGCUCACCAUCUUCCUGUGGAAGAGAUCCCAGAAAUGAGGACAAAACAGGUGAGUUUUUCCAACUAUAUUGGAUUCUUCUAAACUGUUUAAUAGGGUAAGGUACAAUACACAAUUAUUUUUAGGUUUCUUUGGCAGUUUUAAGAUGGGACUCAAUUUA
rnacentral:lncRNA from 1 species